GACUCCCGGUGCGGGCCCAUUUCUUCAGGUAUGGUCGGCCUAUGUAUAUUUUUGCCUGUUCACCAUGUGCUGCGUUUCCCAAAGAGAAACAAUGGAGGUCGAAUCGGAGGUUUCUACUUUCCUUGAGGAAGAGAAAAUGGUCAGGCAAGAAGAAGAAGAAGAAGAGGAUAUCGUUUGCUUGGACGAAGCUUUCUUCAUCAAUGACAAUUACCAGCUGACUACUUACACAUUUGGGUCUCAUGUGCUUCAGCUCUUUUGUCUCCAAUCAGCCUCUACUGAUUUUGAUUUGACAGGACAAUUGGUAUGGCCUGGUGCAAUGCUUUUGAAUGAUUAUCUCUCUAAAAAUGCUGAGAUGCUUCAAGGAUGUUCCAUGAUUGAAUUAGGCUCUGGUGUAGGUAUUACUGGCAUGCUCUGCAGCAGAUUUUGUCAUCAAAUUCUUUUGACUGAUCAUAACGAUGAAGUGCUGAAGAUCCUGAGGAGAAACAUAGAGCUGAAUACAUCUUCUGAAAAUCCUAGUUGCUGUGCUGCACUAGAAGCUGAGAAGCUAGAGUGGGGAAAUUCUGAUCAUAUUAACAGCAUUUUGCACAAAUAUCCUGGAGGUUUUGAUUUGAUACUUGGUGCUGACAUUUAUAUCCUGAUUACUAUUAAUUAUUUCUUUUCUCAAGCAAUGUAUAAAAUACAAGGAAAAAGAUUGAGCUUAUGAAGGAUGAAACUGAGAAUAACAUAAUGCAAAAGCCAGGAAUGAGCAUGCUCUAUCAUGAUUGUCUAGUUGCUGUUAGACAACUUGAAAUGGAAAGACCUGCCCUUGACAAUAUCCAAGCUUCCAGCAGUCAAGUGUUCCUUUGCUUUUUGAUACUGUAGAACAGCUCCUGCGCAACAGGGGAUCCGGCCAUUGCAAAUUCAUACUAGCAUAUGUAUCUCGAGCCAAAAUGAUGGAUUCAAUGGUUAUUACAGAAGCUACUCGGCAUGGUAUGCUGAUAAAUGAAGUAGCUGGGACACGCUCUGUGGUUGCAAAUCUCGAAGGAGUCAUCUUUGAGAUCACCCUUUGCUAGAGGUGCUGAAUAUUCACAUUGGACAGGAGAAUAUGUGGAGAAGCUAGCAACAUACAUGAGGGCAGAACAAAGGAAUGAUAUCUAUUGUGAAUAUGGUUUAACUAGCCACUAGAUGUUUCAGUUUUGUAUGCAAUGCUGCCACAGCAAGAUUCAUACUUGAUGGGAAAAGGAUUUAGAUGGCGAGUAGAACUUUGCUUUCAAAAUAUCUUGUUAUUUAUAUCUAAGUCCUAUCUCUUUAAUUUUGAAUGUACUUAAUUACAGUGUUCUUAGGACUGGAAACAGAUGCACUGCUUCGUUGGUUUGAAUUGUCUUUUUAUAUUUGUUGAUACAGAAGCCCCAUUUGUCCAUUUUGGUACCAUCUAAUUUUAGUUGUUGGGUUGUUCAGAA